AGAGUUUGGGGCCCAAAACAGAACCCUAUGGAACACCACUUUCUACGUUCGCCAAUUCCGAGCUAGAGUUUUCGUGUGUCUUGGCGAUCCUUUUCAUCAACCGAUAUCCAGACUUUGAAGCAAAAGGUGUCAGAAAAGUUACCACAGGGAUAACUGGCUAGUGACGGCCAAACGUUCAUAGGGACUUCGCUUUUUGAUCAUUCGAUGUAGGCUCUUCCUAUCAUGGUGAAGCUUAAUUCACCAAGCUUUGGAUCGGGAACGUGAGCUGUGGUAAGACAGUCGUGAUACAGGUUAGUUUUACCCUUCUGAUUGUUGAACUGUUUAAAAAGUGAAGUACAAUUAAGUCGUGAAUUUGGUAACCAUGUUUAGUACGAGAGGAACCGAAGGUACAGACAUUUGGUACAUGUGCCUGUACGAGCAGCCAAUGGUGCAAAGCUGUCAUCUGAGGGAUUGAGACUGAACGUCUCUUAGUCUGAAUGCUUUACAAUAGAGUUUAACUGGCCCCGUGUUUGGGCCGAUAUAUAACUUUCUGUUCAGGGCCAGUGGGCCCUACCGAACCUUUUUGGUCUGGAAAUGUUAUGCCAGAGCUGUGAUAAUAACCGCAUGCACCGGGCGAUGGUGUUGUGGGGGUCCACACGAUAUCCAAUAGUGGUAUGAGCGUAACGGCCCUAAGUCGUACGUAGACGACUUAUAGUUUUUUCGAGGAGACGUUAGUAUUUGAGCAACUAUCACACUGCGAGGUUUUAAGUCCUAUCUCUACCCAACGCAAUGAUUU
rnacentral:ncRNA from 1 species